GCUGUGUCCCCGCGAAUGUAUGUACAGACGUGCCUCAUUCCUAUAUUUACGGGGGCCAAUUACUUAAUAGUGCGACAACAAAGAAAAACGUAAACAAAACGGUAGGGUAGGGGAACUGCAGCGCCAAGAGCGAAGAGGAACCCACCCAUGGGGCAAGUUGCCAACUUGUUGGGGUGCCAUCGCAUGAAUCAAGCGAGUGAUUGGUGACUCUCGCUGACGCCUGGCCACAAAACUGAAGUGCUCUUUGGCCACUGAUGUAAACCGAGCAGGAGUACACGCCCUGUUCACGGGACCGCCGUUCGUUGUCCCCCAAAACUAGAGAGGGAGACACCAAUCGGGCGGGCAGAGUGCAAUCAACUCGAGAAUUCGCCGCCCAAGGCGAACAUUGGAUUGAAAUCUGUGCUGCAUUACUCAUACGCAGCGUGAGCCGGAGUCGAAACUCUGAAAUACUGAUAAUUGGCUAUGGUUUACAAAUCAAAUAAUGCAAAUUGUGCUAAACGCACAGACCAGAUGAAAACAAGUUAGUAGAGGGAGGAGCUAGCUGUGGGAGAGGCUGUGCCAGUCCAGAUAAACAAGUUCUAGGCGCCAUGGACUGGUGCGUUCUAGUAUAUCUUUUUCAAAUAUGUACAAAUAUGUAGAUAUGUGUGUAUGUAUAUGUAUAUUUAUGUAUGUAUAUGUAUUUACUUAAUGUUUGUUUUCUGUUUUGGUCGCUUAUCGCCCCAGAGGCAGUGGCAGAGUCAGAGACAGAGCCACAGCCAUGACACUUAUUCUUUCUAUCGUUUGCUGCUCGUUCAUUUAUUUUCGUUUCUAGCGUUUUCGACUUGUUUCUUCUUGGCGUGCCCGCGUUCAUUAUGAUUACCCGUAUCCGCACCUCAAGCGAUUUUUGUUUGUUUUGGUUCGGGAAUUGGCAUUUAGUGAAUUUUUCUCUCUAACAUUUCCUCUGUGGCGGCGCUUGGCAACAGUUUUCCUGUUCGUUCUGUUCGAGAUCUGGCUCGCUCUCGCUCUCUCUCUCUCUCUGUUUUAUUAUAUUUUUGGCACAUGGCAAUUAAAACGUGUAGAUGCUA